rnacentral:lncRNA from 1 species
CCUUCGGGCGUUCCGAGGUGGAGGGAAAGAAGAGUGUAGAAGAAGUAGAGGUGGCAGAGCAGGCUGAUACUAUCCAGGAGAGUUAAUAGCUGCCAGCAGAGUGCAUCAAGUUUAAUUCCCUGGUAGUAGGACCUCAGAAAGGUUCAAUAAUAAACUGUAAUCCUAGAACACAGCCUCAAAAAAAGCUACAGGUUCUGUUUCUAUGGAGACAGUAGCAUCACUGGAGGGAAGGGCAAGUCAAGUUUAAUGUGAAUGUUAGUGAGGAGGAGGUGAGGAUGGUGUUCAGGUGUGCAGAUCUCAUCGUGGUGCUGCUCCUGGCUGGACUGGCUUAUCUGCAGGCUGAUGUUCUGGGCGGUCGUAAGGGUGGUCUUCUGGGUCAUCUUCCGGUUGAUGAUGUUCUGGGUGAUGUUCGUGGUGAUGCUGAGGAGACCAAACAAGCCGAUGACACCGCAGAGAUGGGCUCAGGGUCUGUACUCACAGAGGUGGUGGAUCUGCUGGAGCAGCUGUCGGCACUGGUGGAGGACACCCGGAACGUAUCGCUGUCCAGAGUAGGCCAGGCGUGUCCUGUCCUACGAAUUGGACAAUACUCCACUUUGCACCUGCCCCUCCGGCAGGCCUUCGGACCCAGGUUCCUGGAUGAGUUCACUGUCCUGCUGCAGCUUCGCAGCCCGCAGGCCGAGGACCGCAGCUUGCUCACCCUGCUGACCUCAGACAGCCACAUCCUGCUCCAACUGCGGCUCGGACUCCACGCCUUCACUCUCGUCACCACCCAGCAGCGC